rnacentral:misc_RNA from 1 species
UCCGGUUCAUCACCGGCAGUCUCCUUAGAGUCCCCAACUUUACUUGCUGGCAACUAAGGACAAGGGUUGCGCUCGUUACGGGACUUAACCCAACAUCUCACAACACGAGCUGACGACAGCCAUGCAGCACCUGUCUCUGCGCUCCCUUGCGGGCACUCCCACUUCUCAGCAGGAUUCGCAGGAUGUCAAGGGUAGGUAAGGUUCUUCGCGUUGCAUCGAAUUAAACCACAUGCUCCACCGCUUGUGCGGGCCCCCGUCAAUUCCUUUGAGUUUCAACCUUGCGGCCGUACUUCCCAGGCGGAAGACUUAUCGCGUUAGCUUCGAUACCGAUUGGUUCCCCAACCAACAUCUAGUCUUCAUCGUUUACAGCGUGGACUAC